UACGUAGGGUGCAAGCGUUAAUCGGAAUUACUGGGCGUAAAGGGCGCGUAGGCGGCCUUCUAAGUCAGACGUGAAAUCCCCCAGGCUUAACCUGGGAACUGCAUUCGAGACUGCAUAGCUAGAGUAUGGGAGAGGGAAGUGGAAUUUCAGGUGUAGCGGUGAAAUGCGUAGAUAUCUGAAGGAACAUCAGUGGCGAAAAGCGACUUCCUGGACCAAUACUGACGCUCAUGUGCGAAAGCGUGGGGGAGCAAACAGG
rnacentral:rRNA from 1 species